rnacentral:rRNA from 1 species
UGCGAAGCUGACGUCGUGCUUAACACAUGCAAGUUCGAACGAUGAAGCCCCUUCGGGGUGGAUUAGUGGCGAACGGGUGAGUAACACGUGGGCAAUCUGCCCUUCACUCUGGGACAAGCCCUGGAAACGGGGUCUAAUACCGGAUACGACCCGCCGAGGCAUCUCGGUGGGUGGAAAGCUCCGGCGGUGAAGGAUGAGCCCGCGGCCUAUCAGCUUGUUGGUGGGGUAACGGCCCACCAAGGCGACGACGGGUAGCCGGCCUGAGAGGGCGACCGGSCACACUGGGASUGAGACACGGCCCAGACUCCUUACCGAGAGGCAGCAGUGGKGAAUAUUGCACAAUGGGCGAAAGCCCUGAUGCAGCGACGCCGCGUGAGGGAUGACGGCCUUCGGGUUGUAAACCUCUUUCAGCAGGGAAGAAGCGCAAGUGACGGUACCUGCAAAGAAGCGCCGGCUAACUACGUGCCAGCAGCCGCGGUAAUACGUAGSGCGCAAGCGUUGUCCGGAAUUAUUGGGCGUAAAGAGCUCGUAGGCGGCUUGUCACGUUGGUGUGAAAGCCCGGGGCUUAACCCCGGGUCUGCAUCCGAUACGGUCAGGCUAUAGUGUGGUAGGGUAGAUCGGAAUUCCUGGUGUAGCGGUGAAAUGYCAKAUAUCAGGAGGAACACCGGUGGCGAAGGCGGAUCUCUGGGCCAUUACUGACGCUGAGGAGCGAAAGCGUGGGGUAGCGAACAGGAUUAGAUACCCUGGUAGUCCACGCCGUAAACGUUGGGAACUAGGUGUUGGCGACAUUCCACGUCGUCGGUGCCGCAGCUAACGCAUUAAGUUCCCCGCCUGGGGAGUACCGCCGCAAGGCUAAAACUCAAAGGAAUUGACGGGGGCCCGCACAAGCAGCGGAGCAUGUGGCUUAAUUCGACGCAACGCGAAGAACCUUACCAAGGCUUGACAUAUACCGGAAACAUCCAGAGAUGGGUGCCCCCUUGUGGUCGGUAUACAGGUGGUGCAUGGCUGUCGUCAGCUUGUGUCGUGAGAUGUUGGGUUAAGUCCCGCAACGAUGCGCAACCCUUGUCCUGUGUUGCCAGCAUGCCCUUCGGGGUGAUGGGGACUCACAGAGACCGCCGGGGUUAAUUUGAGAAGGUGKGGGACGAAAUUCAACUCCUUAUGCCCCUU